UUUCAUAAUUCAUGGAUCGUUCGAGGGAAAAUCGAGCUGCAGAAGUAGCCGGAAGUGGUCGUCGAAUCGAAGCAAUUAAUAGUUUACGGAUAAAUUAGAGCUGAAACGAAGUUUCAGCCCUUCUACUUUUUUUCGUUUAAAAAUGCUCCGGAGAAAGUUUUUAACUUUUUUUAAAUUACAGCGUUAAGUACGUCUAUAAUUUCUGUACCUUUACUGAAAAUGUUCGUUUUUUAGCAUUUCCCUCGUAUUAUUCAGGGAAUCGAUUUGCCGUUGCAUGAAACGAGAAAUCGAUAAGAGGAAUGCCUCGUCGGCUGUAUUUCGACAAAACGGCACCGAGUCAGGUGCAUUUAGGAUGAAAAGAGUUGGGAGAAAGGGAAAUCGGGCAAAAGAAGAGGCUUUAUGCGUGUUGCUGUGCAUGAAGACUAAUGCAUCUGCUCACCUGUUUUCACAGAUUACAUACUCUCUCCCUCCCAUAGGAUUCGCGAAUAUAGCGAAAUACAGCGAGUGAAAAACGGUAUUCAUCAAAAUAUUCUGCAAUCGUUCGAAAGAAAAAUGUUUUAUAUAGAUAAUGUGAAACUAUCAUUCAUGUGGGUCACUGGUGACCUAAGUGGUAUUAAACGCGUUGAAACUAUUGAUGCGAAAAUUAAAAGUAUUUAACAACGAGUUAAUAAUAAGAAGUAAAACGAAUUGCGUAACGUAAUUAAAAUACGACACUACACUUCAUUUAAUUAUCAAGUGAAACAUUUUUUAUUUAUCUAUGCAGCGCUUUUGAAUUCAACUUCUUAUCUUCAUUCGUUGAAAUUCUUCGGUAUGGAAUGUGUUUACGCAUAUAAUUGCCUCAGCAAAGCUAAAAAUACAUGAGAUAUCGCAGAAUCAUUUAUUGCAAGUAAUAUGUUGUUACAAAACUAGCCUCCUCUGAUUCAAAGGGUGUCGUUCACCGUAUAUCUCGUCGGAAAAUCACAAAAAACUAAGUAAAUUUACCCAACUGUUUCAACUAGAGCGUAUAUCGAACAAGAUGAAUUCUCAAUGUUUUCUCAAAUGAUUCGCCGCGAAUACUCGAGUACUACACUCGAUGGAAUGUACUUUCAAGAGCAACGGAGAACCGUCGACGUUUCACGAGCCGGACCUGAGACUUUAGGGGAACCCGAGGCGAGCUCCGAAAAAGGACCCCUUCAUAUACAUAACAUAAAAAAAAGUAGCUCAAAUAAAAUUUAUAAAAUUAACAUUAAAGCUUGUAUAACUAAUUUAGAUUUCCAUUUAAAUCGAUUAAUAUUCAAGUAAACAUUACUCUUCUUGCAUUCUUAGACAUUCAUUUUAGGACAUCCAGACCCCUUUCGCUAUAUCGUCAUUUUCCCCGGGGAUGCCUGCGGGGUUGCCUAGAGGGAAGGGCGGGAAAUCGAUAUUCUUUAUACACAAUAAUAAAAAAAAACAAAUAAAAAUAAUUCUUCGAUGAUAAUUCGAAAUGACAGAUAUCAGUUUCGAGUACCAACACUUGAUCUCCAUUCGCUCUUUGAUUCUGAUUAUUGGAAAUAUACAAGGACGGUUUCGAUUCCAUCGACUCUUCAACUGAUCUUCGUUCGCAGUCAUUAAAACUCGUUAUGCAAACUCGAUUUGAAGGGCGAACCAGCAUCGAUGGUUCUCGUAUUGUUCGCCACUUCGCUCUUUAAUUACGCGGUGUAAUGAACUUUGUAAAUGCUUUCCGGUCUGAGGUUACCGAUGGAUAUUCGGAGAAAAAAUGUGCUGGCUUUGAAAUUUCAAUUGCACCUGCUCGUAUUUCAUUAGCGAUCGUCGUUAUUUAAAAAGAUAUAGUUCGGAAAGCAGAAUAAAGUGCAACGGUAAAUCGGAUAGAAACCGGCAAAGCAAAUCCCUACGGAACAACUUAUGUAAUCCUGUGGAGGCCCGUUUUGUACAGCUCUGAGCGGAAGUUACUUUUUAACAGUGAACAAAGCUUUUUCGCUGAUCUGGUUAAUAUCAGUGCUACCGAGAGCACGCGGAAUGCUUGGCAAAUAUACAGGGUGAAGCUAUAACUUUAAAAUGUAGAAUUAUAGCUUGGCCCAAUUGUAUGGGACACCCUGUACAUCAGGAGUCAUGAUAAAUGAAAUAAAAAAUAUGUACGUUUCUGUACUGGCUAAUCGAUAUUUUACGAUACUCUCGCUGGAACGUAAGUACGUAUUCGCGUGUGCCAUUGGCGGAAUUUUAUUUAGCGUUAGAUCUUAUCCUGAUCUUUCCCCGAAGCAAUCAACGAACCAACCUGCACCAUAAUCAGGAAGUUAGGUUCCUUUUUUUUCAAUGUAAAUUGUUUAUUGAUUGCUUGGAAUAUAAAUAA